ACAAGCACAGAAGGCCUCCUGUUUUACUUUUCAAGCAGAAAGGAGUUACUCGAUUUGACAUCACCUGCUACAACCUGGCAGGAGUCCAGGCUUUGAAUGUGUUCCAAAAAAAUGACCAGCGAAGAGGAAACAUUUUCUUCAUCAUCAUUCAUCCUAAACAAUUUGGAAGCUGCACAGGCCCAUCAGCGUCUCUUUAAUGGCAGGCGCAGCUCUGUUUAUUAUGCAGUGUACUGUACACAGAGUACAGUGGAUUGAGGGGAGAUGGGAUGAGAUGGGACAUGAAUCACCAGCUGGAUCUGAACCAGGCAGAAGAUUUAGAAAGGCAGCCAAGACUUCCUUCUUUCCAGUCACGUCCUCCGGCUCUUCCUCAGGGAUCCCAAGGUGUUUCCAGGUCAGAUGGGAUAUGUAUUCCCUCCAGCAUGUUCUUGGUCUGCCCCAAGGUCGCCUCCCAAAUGGAUGUGCCUAGAAACCUCUAAAGGGAGACGUGAAGACAGCUGAAGAGAGACAGGAAAUCUGGGGAGGAGUGAGCGGGGG